GCUUUAACAUGGGGGUACCUGCUACGUAAGAAAAGUAAGUGCUUCCAUGUUUCAGUGG
rnacentral:pre_miRNA from 1 species